rnacentral:rRNA from 1 species
AUUGAACGCUGGCGGCAGGCCUAACACAUGCAAGUCGAACGGUAGCACAGAGAGCUUGCUCUCGGGUGACGAGUGGCGGACGGGUGAGUAAUGUCUGGGAAACUGCCCGAUGGAGGGGGAUAACUACUGGAAACGGUAGCUAAUACCGCAUAACGUCGCAAGACCAAAGUGGGGGACCUUCGGGCCUCACACCAUCGGAUGUGCCCAGAUGGGAUUAGCUAGUAGGUGGGGUAAUGGCUCACCUAGGCGACGAUCCCUAGCUGGUCUGAGAGGAUGACCAGCCACACUGGAACUGAGACACGGUCCAGACACCUACGGGAGGCAGCAGUGGGGAAUAUUGCACAAUGGGCGCAAGCCUGAUGCAGCCAUGCCGCGUGUAUGAAGAAGGCCUUCGGGUUGUAAAGUACUUUCAGCGGGGAGGAAGGCGGUGAAGUUAAUAACUUCACCGAUUGACGUUACCCGCAGAAGAAGCACCGGCUAACUCUGUGCCAGCCGCCGCAGUAA